rnacentral:rRNA from 1 species
GCAUGCCUUACACUUGCAAGUCGAACGGCCAGGGAGCUUGCUCCGCUGACGAGUGGCUUUCGGGUGAGUAAUGCAUCCGAACGUACCAUUCAGUGGGGGAUAACGUAGCGAAAGUUACGCUAAUACCGCAUAUUCUGUGCGCAGGAAAGCAGGGGAUCGCAAGACCUUGCGCUGAUUGAGCGGCCGAUAUCAGAUUAGCUAGUUGGUGAGGUAAUAAGCUCACCAAGGCGACGAUCUGUAGCGGGUCUGAGAGGAUGAUCCGCCACACUGGAACUGAUACACGGUCCAGACUCCUACGGGAGGCAGCAGUGGGGAAUUUUGGACAAUGGGGGCAACCCUGAUCCAGCCAUGCCGCGUGAGUGAAGAAGGCCUUCGGGUUGUAAAGCUCUUUCAGCCGGGAAGAAAAUGCAUGGGUUAAUACCCUGUGCAGAUGACGGUACCGGAAUAAGAAGCCACCGGCUAACUACGUGCCCAGCAGCCGCGGUUAAUACCUAGGGUGCGAGCGUUAAUCGGAAUUACUGCGCGUAAGCGUGCGCAGGCGGUUUUUUAAGAAGGCGUGAAUCCCCGGCUUACCUGGGACUGCGUUUGUGAUGCACGC